rnacentral:rRNA from 1 species
CCUACGGGUGGCAGCAGUGGGGAAUAUUGCACAAUGGGGGAAACCCUGAUGCAGCAACGCCGCGUGAGGGAUGAAGGUUUUCGGAUUGUAAAGCUCUGUUAGCAGGGAAGAGGGAGGACGGUGCCUGCAGAGGAAGCCACGACUGACUACGUACCAGCAGCCGCGGUAAUACGUAGGUGGCAAGCUGUGUUCGUAAUAACUGGGCGUAAAGGAUGCGGAGGCUGUUAGACAAGUUAUAGGUUAAAUAGAUAGGCUUAACCUGUAGAAAGCAUAUAAAACUGUUUAACUAGAGUGCAGGAGAGGUAAGUGGAAUUCCUAGUGUAGCGGUGAAAUGCGUAGAGAUUAGGAAGAACACCAGUGGCGAAGGCGACUUACUGGACUGUAACUGACGCUGAGGCAUGAGAGCAUGGGGAGCAAACAGGAUUAGAUACCCUGGUAGUC